GUGUAUGGCCAUACUACCCUUGAACACACCCGAUCUCUUCUGAUCUUGGAAGCUAAGCAGGGUCAAGUUUGGUUUGUACUUGGAUGGGAGACUGCCUGGGAAUACUGGGUGCUGUAGGUG